rnacentral:misc_RNA from 1 species
CCGAGUUAGGGUCUUCUAGGCCCGACCUCCAACCCUAUGUUUAAUUUACCUGUUGCUUUGGCGGGUCCGUCUCUGGACCGCCGGCGGUCCUCACCGACCUCUGGCCAGUACCCGCCAGUAGCCCCAUUUAAACUCUGAUUGUUAAAAUCUGAACUACAAACUUGAAAUAAAAUAAAACA